AGAGUUUGAUCCUGGCUCAGAUUGAACGCUGGCGGCAUGCCUUACACAUGCAAGUCGAACGGCAGCACGGGGGCAACCCUGGUGGCGAGUGGCGAACGGGUGAGUAAUACAUCGGAACGUGUCCUGUAGUGGGGGAUAGCCCGGCGAAAGCCGGAUUAAUACCGCAUACGAUCUACGGAAGAAAGCGGGGGAUCUUCGGACCUCGCGCUAUAGGGGCGGCCGAUGGCAGAUUAGCUAGUUGGUGGGGUAAAGGCCUACCAAGGCGACGAUCUGUAGCUGGUCUGAGAGGACGACCAGCCACACUGGGACUGAGACACGGCCCAGACUCCUACGGGAGGCAGCAGUGGGGAAUUUUGGACAAUGGGGGAAACCCUGAUCCAGCAAUGCCGCGUGUGUGAAGAAGGCCUUCGGGUUGUAAAGCACUUUUGUCCGGAAAGAAAACUUCCUGGUUAAUUCCUGGGGAGG
rnacentral:rRNA from 1 species